AGAGAUGUUAAUGCUCUGGUGUCCAAAGGACAGGCAGUAAGUGAAUAAAAUAACUGGUGGUACCUAACAGAUCCAAAAAAACCACCAGAUCCCAAUAAGCUUAGUAAAAAUCUCAGGUCCUUAUUAAAGCUGAAUAGAGGGUGGUUGGUUAACAGUUCCCAAAAAAAACCAACCCACACAGAAGAAAUCUCAGCAGGAUGGACCUCAAGCAUCAAAGACAAGCACUAAGAUGUAUGCUACCACUCUCCAGGCCUGGGAGGGGGGCGUGCCAACGGUUGAAGAUGAGGAAAGGCCCAACGAGGAGAGCUCCCUGUCUUUGUUCAGGGCAAGCUGCACUGCAAGAGGGGGGUUCCAAGCCCAGCUUGGACAAGCAAGAGGGAAUCAGAUUCAAAGAGGACUUUGGUGCAUCCCAUACUGUGAGCAAACGCAAUAGCAUUACGCAUGAUUAAAGCUUCAGCCAUAAGCGGGGAUCUGGCAUAGAAGCUGCUGGUGUUGCUAGUCAACAGCAAUCCUCAAGGAGUGUGAUUUUGAGGCAUGCAAGUGAACAAAAUCGUUGCUUAUGGUGCAGAGGGAAUGAGGUUAAGGAUCUUCUUUUGGUAGCACUUGAUCAAGAUCCCAAGGUUUGGAUAGAUGUAGGUGCUUGUAGACUCGUCAAUUGUGGGUGUCUGCAUUAAAGAAUAUGAAACUGAGGAUAUUGCAUGCGAUGCGGUCUGGUUUGCUUUGGCCUACUAACACUCUACAGCAGAAUACUUGAGUUAAAUAAGCGUUAUUGAUCCCAUGUUUUCUACCCUAUCAUGCAACUCUCAGCAUUGGAUAGAGGGUAUAUCAGUAUAUGAGUACAAAAACCCUUUCAACUUUAUGAUUGUAUCCCAGCAUCCAACUAUUGACGGGAGGGAAUGUCAUAUUCCAUAGGUUUUGUUCUAUUGUUUCUAAAUCUAGGCACAACUGGACUUUCCUUUCGGUGACAUGGUGGUGGUGAUGCUGCCAAUGGGAUUUUAUUCAAGUCCCAUCUUCUUGAUGUUCAUAUGGUGGGGCCAUAUUCUAUCAAGUGGAGCAAUUCAAAAGGGAUGAUGAGUGACUCAGAUAAUUUUCUGCUCUUGAGAAAUAUAGGAUCCAUGAGUGCUAGAGACACUGAGAAUUUUUCAUGAGUAAGCUUUAAGUUCUUUUAAGAUAAAUUUAUUGUAUCUCCUUACCACACCAUUUUUUUUCUACAUUUUAGGUCUGAUUUAAAAAGAUUCAUUAGAAUAUGAAUAUCUUUCUAGCUUCUGUUGCUUUGCUUUGAUCUAGUAGGAUGCUUUUCGUUUGCUCGAGGUUUGGUGAGAAGAUCUGCUAAUUGAUGACUAGAUGGAAUAUGCAACAUUUGACAUGGUCUCCAUGGACUAUUGAUCACGCUCUGAUUACACAGUCAUGUUCAGACACCAUGACUUAGGUUCUGGUCUCCUUAGAACUCAAGGAUACAGUCGUGAACUGAAGUUUAAGCGUUUCUGUAUAUAAACCUUAGGAUUUUGUUCGGUGCUAGCAAUGCAGGACAUUAUGUGGUUAUUGCCUUUUGUUGUGUUACAUGUUGUUCUGUGCCGGUCAUGGCUUUGCAAAACGUUGGAGGAAUCUGUCCAAAUUCAUUGUAUCCAUAUAUUUGAUUCAGAAGUUCUUGAAAUCUUUUAGAAAUGACUCGAAAAAUUUAGGUGAAAUGAGGCAGUAAGUGUCAGCCUCAUAGCAACAAUAAGCUUCAAAAAUGGGGUAAAAGAGUAACAUAAAGUACACAAUUAUGUUUGUUAUAUACAUAGUUAUUUCUUACCUCGAUGGUUUUUUGUACAUCAACAUGAAGUGCAUCAUACUGAUAUUGAGCAUAUUCUUUGGCACAUUCAAUAUGAUUCAUGUACAAUCAUAUUGAUCCUGAGUAGCAAUUGUAAUUUUUUUGGGCACAUUCAACAUGAAGCUCUUCACAAAAUUCCUUGCAAAACUUGUUUGGGAGAAGUGCCAUUAGAUUGGUUACCAUGUUGUUUAUCUCAAGCAUUGCUUGUUAUGCUAAAAAGUUCGCAGUUUACAUCCUAAUCUAAUGUUUGUAGUUCUCUGUAAAACCAUUUUGUACCUCCUUUUCUCUUUUUUGCCUGGGUUGAAUAACUAUUAUAGUAAAUUGUAUGAUACCUCUUUCUGUAUUGUGAAAAUUUUGAUCUUUUGAAAUUUUGUAUCUCACUAAUCCAUACCCUCAAGUUAUUGAUUUUCCAAUGCUUUUGAUUCUUGACUGAAAUAGUGAAAUGGCUAAGAUUAUUUACAUGUGUGGUGAAUCAAUGAUUUUGCAGGUCAUCGAUCCUUGAUCUUUCCAGCCAUUUCUUCCAAUGACAAGUUCAGAAAGGGACCAAAGCGAGACAUUUCCACACUUUCUGACAGUUUUGGCAUGCUAAGUAAAUGCUAUUGUGAUAAUCCCAUUGAAACAGAUGAUGUUUCAAACCCAAUUGACAGACACAAUUUGUUCACAAUUUGAUGGUUUGCAAGCGAAUGGCAAACUUAUUAUUAAAACAACAUAAGAUCACAUUUUAGGCUGUCACUACAAGAAAAACGAGAAUUAUUGACGGCUGAAAGUUGUCGGUAACUUUGUAAAACUGUCGGUAAUUAGAAAUUACCGAUGACCUUCUGACAGUUAAACAUCUGUCGUUAAAACA